rnacentral:sRNA from 1 species
CCCUAGCCCCGAUGGGAGCGGCAUCCUUUUGUCGUGCCGCGGCGGACAAAAGAUAUAGCGGACAGCGGGAUUAGCU